GGCUGGAAUGCGUACAUAUAAAGCAGGGGCUACAAGGUAUGAGACGAUAAGCGCACUGGGGUAGAACAGGUCUCACGUGCCAUGCCAAGCCUUUUAUUUUACUUCAUUUGGUCAUUCAGAAAAAUGUACUGCAGCCUACUAUAGGCCAAGUCCUGUGCCAGGAACCAGUGACACAAAAUCAAUGAGACAUAGUCUUUCAAGAAGCUCAGAGUAUAGCGGGGCACAGGCAUGUAAAGAAACAACCAUGAUACAGCACAAAUAAGUGCAAUGAUACAGACAUGUUUAAUAUACAGGGAUGGCUCAGAGAAGGGAGUGAUUAGAUUGGCUCUGCGUCUCAGGGACAAAAGGGUGGUCAGGAAGGGCCCAAUAGUAGAGGAUUUGAACUAGGUCAUGGGAGAUGAAUAGGAUUUUAUAAAGUAAUGAUAAUAACAAUAAUAGCAAAGACUUACAAAGUACUUAGUAUUGGCCAGACUCUGUACCAAACACUUUACAUAUGUUGACUCACUCAAAUUUCAUAAUACCUUAUAAAACAGGUAUUAUUAAUCCCCAUUUUAUAGAUUAAGAUGGACACAGAGAGGCUAAAUAACUUGACCAAGGUCACGAAGGUAGUAAGUAGCAGAGCUGGGAUUUUAGUAAGGCAGUCUGGCUCCAGAGUCUAUGUUCUUAAUUAUUGCAUUAUAUUGCCUCCAAGACAAGAUAGUAAGGGAAUUCCAGGCAAACAGGACAGUAUAUGCAAAGGCACAGAGGAAGGAAAGAGCACAACAUCUUUGGGGAAUUGUGAAUGGUUGACAUUGGAUGAGGCAUAAAUAAAAAGACUAGCAGGGGAUGAGGCAGGCAGGCGCCAGGUCAUGGAAGGCCUUGGGUGUCAUGUAAAAAACUGUGAUCUUUAUUGAUGGGUAAUGAGAAAUUAUUGAAGGAUUAGGCAGGAAAGUGACCUGAGUAGAUUUUCUUUUCUAUUUGAGACAUAUUUCUCUGGUGUAAGAGUGGAAGGGAGGUGAAUGCGGGAUGUCAAAGGCAGGGAGACAAGUCAACAGACCAUAGCACUGCUCUAGAUGAGAAGUAUGAUUCUGAACUUAAAGUGGAAGACAAUCAAGUGAGUAUGGGCAAGAAGGAUUUUUAGGAAGUAAAACUAAAAAUUGGGGCCAGGCGUAGUGGCUCAUGCCUGUAAUCCCAGCACUUCAGGAGGCCAAGGAGGGCAGAUAGCUUGAGCCCAGAAGUUCAAGACCAGACUGGACAACAUGAUGAAAUCCUGUCUCUACAAAAAAAAAAAAAAAAAAAAAAAAUUAGCCAGGUGUGGUGGCAUGUGCCUAUAGUCCCAGCUAUGAUGUGAUCAUAGUCCCAUGAUCACAUCACUGCAUUCCAGCC
rnacentral:lncRNA from 10 species